rnacentral:rRNA from 1 species
CAGGCUUAACACAUGCAAGUCGAGGGGCAGCAUGGUCUUAGCUUGCUAAGGCCGAUGGCGACCGGCGCACGGGUGAGUAACACGUAUCCAACCUGCCGUCUACUCUUGGACAGCCUUCUGAAAGGAAGAUUAAUACAAGAUGGCAUCAUGAGUCCGCAUGUUCACAUGAUUAAAGGUAUUCCGGUAGACGAUGGGGAUGCGUUCCAUUAGAUAGUAGGCGGGGUAACGGCCCACCUAGUCUUCGAUGGAUAGGGGUUCUGAGAGGAAGGUCCCCCACAUUGGAACUGAGACACGGUCCAAACUCCUACGGGAGGCAGCAGUGAGGAAUAUUGGUCAAUGGGCGAGAGCCUGAACCAGCCAAGUAGCGUGAAGGAUGACUGCCCUAUGGGUUGUAAACUUCUUUUAUAAAGGAAUAAAGUCGGGUAUGGAUACCCGUUUGCAUGUACUUUAUGAAUAAGGAUCGGCUAACUCCGUGCCAGCAGCCGCGGUAAUACGGAGGAUCCGAGCGUUAUCCGGAUUUAUUGGGUUUAAAGGGAGCGUAGAUGGAUGGUUAAGUCAGUUGUGAAAGUUUGCGGCUCACCCGUAAAAUUGCAGUUGAUACUGGAUAUCUUGAGUGCAGUUGAGGCAGGCGGAAUUCGUGGUGUAGCGGUGAAAUGCUUAGAUAUCACGAAGAACUCCGAUUGCGAAGGCAGCCUGCUAAGCUGCAACUGACAUUGAGGCUCGAAAGUGUGGGUAUCAAACAGGAUUAGAUACCCUGGUAGUCCACACGGUAAACGAUGAAUACUCGCUGUUUGCGAUAUACUGCAAGCGGCCAAGCGAAAGCGUUAAGUAUUCCACCUGGGGAGUACGCCGGCAACGGUGAAACUCAAAGGAAUUGACGGGGGCCCGCACAAGCGGAGGAACAUGUGGUUUAAUUCGAUGAUACGCGAGGAACCUUACCCGGGCUUAAAUUGCAGAUGAAUUACGGUGAAAGCCGUAAGCCGCAAGGCAUCUGUGAAGGUGCUGCAUGGUUGUCGUCAGCUCGUGCCGUGAGGUGUCGGCUUAAGUGCCAUAACGAGCGCAACCCUUGUUGUCAGUUACUAACAGGUUCCGCUGAGGACUCUGACAAGACUGCCAUCGUAAGAUGUGAGGAAGGUGGGGAUGACGUCAAAUCAGCACGGCCCUUACGUCCGGGGCUACACACGUGUUACAAUGGGGGGUACAGAGGGCCGCUACCACGCGAGUGGAUGCCAAUCCCCAAAACCUCUCUCAGUUCGGACUGGAGUCUGCAACCCGACUCCACGAAGCUGGAUUCGCUAGUAAUCGCGCAUCAGCCACGGCGCGGUGAAUACGUUCCCGGGCCUUGUACACACCGCCCGUCAAGCCAUGGGAGCCGGGGGUACCUGAAGUGCGUAACCGCGAGGAGCGCCCUAGGGUAAAACUGGUGACUGG